UCUAAUGGCGGCCGUGACAUUGGACGAGCCCGGAGGCGGCCUCUACGCGCCUGGAGGAGGCCUCAGCCUCGUCUGCAAGGCCUCAGGGUUCACCUUCAGCAGUUAUGGCAUGGGAUGGGUGCGACAGGCACCAGGAAAGGGGCUGGAAUAUGUCGCUGGUAUUAAUAGUGGUGGUAGUACCACAAGAUACGCGCCGGCGGUGCAGGGCCGUGCCACCAUCACGAGGGAUAACGGGCAGAGCACAGUGAGGCUGCAGCUGAACAGCCUGAAGGACGAGGACUCGGCCACGUAUUACUGCACCAAAAGUGCUGGUGGUGGUUGGGGUUAUGAGGCUGGUUACAUGGACGGCACCUGGGCUCUAAUGUCCAGUAUUAUGGCCAUGGUUAUCAGCCCAGAAUGGCAGAUCAGAGCCCAGGUGGUGUCCAUGUAA